UACGUAGGGGGCAAGCGUUGUCCGGAAUCAUUGGGCGUAAAGCGCGCGCAGGCGGUGGCGUGAGCCCGGCGUGAAAGCCCCCAGCUCAACUGGGGGAGGCCGUCGGAGACCGCGGCACUUGAGGCCGGUAGGGGAGAGCGGAAUUCCCGGUGUAGUGGUGGAAUGCGUAGAUAUCGGGAGGAACACCAGUGGCGAAGGCGGCGAUCUGGGUGGAUACUGACGCUGAGGUGCGAAAGCGUGGGGAGCAAACAGG
rnacentral:rRNA from 1 species